rnacentral:lncRNA from 1 species
GAAGCCUGGCUGCCCCCACGACCAGUGUCCACACAGAAGUCUAGGAAGAAAAGGUGGAGGCCCAGCACUGACGUACAGAAGGAGGGCCAGGCCAGGGAAAACCUGAAAAGAUGCAUCACGUUCAUCAGGUGACCCCUCUGACGAAAGGGGUGUUACGACUGUUGAAACAUCUGAGUUUUUGGGAUUGCUGGAUGAAGGAAAAUCGCAAGGACCCCUCAUACUGCAAGACGCAUCUCAUGUAUGGACAACUUGCCAAUAACCAUCAUUCAUAUGGACUGUUGGGAAAAGACUAUUCUUCUAACCUACAACAAUAUCUGCAGCUAGUACUAUGCUACUUUUUAGCACAUGCCUGACUGCCUGCAGUGUUUUGCUUCUCAGCAGAAGAAUGUGUGGAAAAGAUUCCUGAGGACAUCAGUCAUUAAAGGACUCAAAAUCUUGAAUGGACGAACCUCUGUCACAUCUGCCUGCGCUCUCCAGCUAGGUUUGAUUUAACUUGUCCCAAGGGUCUGCGUUACACUUUUAUUUUUAUGCAUUUAGAUACUCUGAAAAUCUGAAAAAGACUUUGCACACUCUUUGGAAAACUGCAAAGUGCAGAAUAAUGGUAGUCCUUGGCAUUGGAUUUUAGUUCAUUUACUCAUAUAAAAACAAACAUCUGAAACUUUCGUCAGCCCCCAGCAUAUUCCAAAAUUAUAUUUUGAGGUUUUCAACAAAAUGGGAAAAGCACUUCCUCUGUGGUUUUUGAGGAGUUUUGGGCUGGUGUGAGAGCACCCUAAGAAGGUUUUUGAUUGGCUGAGGAUAUAGCUGAUACUAUUUGAAAAUGUAGCCUUGUUUGGAAAGUAGAAUCAAAAAGAAAAGAAAAAUACUAGGUGCUAGGUUGU